rnacentral:rRNA from 1 species
GAGUUUGAUCAUGGCUCAGAUUGAACGCUGGCGGCAGGCCUAACACAUGCAAGUCGAACGGUAACAGGAAACAGCUUGCUGUUUCGCUGACGAGUGGCGGACGGGUGAGUAAUGUCUGGGAAACUGCCUGAUGGAGGGGGAUAACUACUGGAAACGGUAGCUAAUACCGCAUAACGUCGCAAGACCAAAGAGGGGAACCCUCGGGCCUCUUGCCAUCGGAUGUGCCCAGAUGGGAUUAGCUUGUUGGUGGGGUAACGGCUCACCAAGGCGACGAUCCCUAGCUGGUCUGAGAGGAUGACCAGCCACACUGGAACUGAGACACGGUCCAGACUCCUACGGGAGGCAGCAGUGGGGAAUAUUGCACAAUGGGCGCAAGCCUGAUGCAGCCAUGCCGCGUGUAUGAAGAAGGCCUUCGGGUUGUAAAGUACUUUCAGCGGGGAGGAAGGGAGUAAAGUUAAUACCUUUGCUCAUUGACGUUACCCGCAGAAGAAGCACCGGCUAACUCCGUGCCAGCAGCCGCGGUAAUACGGAGGGUGCAAGCGUUAAUCGGAAUUACUGGGCGUAAAGCGCACGCAGGCGGUUUGUUAAGUCAGAUGUGAAAUCCCCGGGCUCAACCUGGGAACUGCAUCUGAUACUGGCAAGCUUGAGUCUCGUAGAGGGGGGUAGAAUUCCAGGUGUAGCGGUGAAAUGCGUAGAGAUCUGGAGGAAUACCGGUGGCGAAGGCGGCCCCCUGGACGAAGACUGACGCUCAGGUGCGAAAGCGUGGGGAGCAAACAGGAUUGGAUACCCUGGUAGUCCACGCCGUAAACGAUGUCGACUUGGAGGUUGUGCCCUUGAGGCGUGGCUUCCGGAGCUAACGCGUUAAGUCGACCGCCUGGGGAGUACGGCCGCAAGGUUAAAACUCAAAUGAAUUGACGGGGGCCCGCACAAGCGGUGGAGCAUGUGGUUUAAUUCGAUGCAACGCGAAGAACCUUACCUGGUCUUGACAUCCACGGAAGUUUUCAGAGAUGAGAAUGUGCCUUCGGGAACCGUGAGACAGGUGCUGCAUGGCUGUCGUCAGCUCGUGUUGUGAAAUGUUGGGUUAAGUCCCGCAACGAGCGCAACCCUUAUCCUUUGUUGCCAGCGGUCCGGCCGGGAACUCAAAGGAGACUGCCAGUGAUAAACUGGAGGAAGGUGGGGAUGACGUCAAGUCAUCAUGGCCCUUACGACCAGGGCUACACACGUGCUACAAUGGCGCAUACAAAGAGAAGCGACCUCGCGAGAGCAAGCGGACCUCAUAAAGUGCGUCGUAGUCCGGAUUGGAGUCUGCAACUCGACUCCAUGAAGUCGGAAUCGCUAGUAAUCGUGGAUCAGAAUGCCACGGUGAAUACGUUCCCGGGCCUUGUACACACCGCCCGUCACACCAUGGGAGUGGGUUGCAAAAGAAGUAGGUAGCUUAACCUUCGGGAGGGCGCUUACCACUUUGUGAUUCAUGACUGGGGUGAAGUCGUAACAAGGUA